CUUUAUGGCCAUUUGAUUUCAUUCUUAUGCUGCAGCAUUCACAGCCAUACAGUUAAACAGGACACUUAUGAUUAAUGAAAUUUGUAAGAUAUGGCCUGCCAGAGUAAUCUAUUUACUUAAGUAUAAGUACUCUGUAGUAAUCGCAUUGUGUUUGAGCACAGGAAUAUGAACAAAAAAUAUAAACAAUUAAGACCAUUCACCUUACUAGGAUGACGUGGUUAGCUGUGCCUGUCCUCCACAAAGUUUUCUAUAAACUUUCAUGCCUUCCCAUAGUGCCAAAAAAGGAAAGUUCUGCACGCAGCACAUUCACGGCACACUAACGCAACAUGCUCACACCAUCGUGGACAUGAAGGGCGUUAGCAUACAUUGUACCAUCUUUUUCUGUGCUGUUUCACUUAGAUUUGCGAACUCAAGUGCCAGUGCACUUGUAUUGGCACAAACAAUCUGUAGUGAAUUGCAUCUGAUGCCAGCAUAUGUGUAUGUGUAUUUGUGUAUGUGUAUUUUUAAGUCUAUUACAAGAAAUGAAAAAGAAGUUAUUUCGAGGAGUGUCUCCCCUAAAGGACACUAAAGUGAAACCUUAGAUCAGUUUAGACAAAUAAAUUAUUCUUUAAGAUCUGUAAUGUCAUUCAUUUUACCUUCAUAGGUAAAUUAGUAGAAGAGGAAAUGAAGGCCAGUGUUUAACUUGUUGAAUUUCAUGCUAAAACUGAUCACAUACAUAUCAACAUGACGUUGCAAAUAUCACGUCUUUUAUCGUAUUUCGGCCACAUUGGUUCGCUAAAAUUUUGUGAAACUUAUGUUAAGAUUUAGGUAUGUAGGAACACAACGUAAAAAAUAUUGCCCGUAGCAGGUGCUGGCAAAAUCUGAUGUCACGGAGAGCUGGUGUGGGAACGUCUGUGCAGCGUCGCCUCGUCUAUCUUUUUUUUUUUUGCGCAUUGUCUUGCUUACCAAUGCCCGAAAGCAGAGCUAGUUGGUAGGAAUACAUGAUAAAAGAUGGUAGGCAUACAACACGGACACAAGAGAGAAGUUGGGACAACACAAACGCCGACUAACCUUAUUCGGCUAGUCGGUUAGUCAGCAUUUGUGUUGUCCCGACUUCUCUCUUGUGUUCAUGUUUGCAUGCCUACCGUCUUUCAUGAAUCGCCUACCAAGUAUCUUCUCGUGUGAAGAGUGGUGUCUUUGGUACUCUGAAGUUGUUUGCACUAAAUGACAGAAAUUGUUUUUCUCUUUAAAAUCCUUUUAACCCGUUUCCUACCACAGACGAUCUGAGUUCGUACACAGUUUGUACUGCUCCUACCGAAGAACUGGGCUCGUCCAUGCUGAAAGAAGCGUUUGGCAUGCCUGGAAAAGUACAUCAAAGCACACCCCAUCUGGCUGACUGCACUACCUCAAGGAAACUGCCUUUCUCCCAUCUGCAAGUUCCUAAGAAGUUACUAAUGAAGCAAGCCAGCAGGGCGUACGUGUUAGGCAUGGCAGCAUGGAGAACAAAUAAACAUGAGUAUUUGGUGCAA